AGGGCACCACCAGGAGUGGGGCCUGCGGCUUAAUUUGACUCAACACGGGAAAUCUCACCAGGCCCGGACACUGGAAGGAUUGACAGAUUGAGAGCUCUUUCUCGAUUCGGUGGGUGGUGGUGCAUGGCCGUUCUUAGUUGGUGGAGUGAUUUGUCUGGUUAAUUCCGAUAACGAACGAGACUCUGGCCUGCUAAAUAGUACAUUGGUAUCAGUGCCCUCGGGUGCUCCCGCCAAUGCCGACUUCUUAGAGGGAUUCGCAGUCUUCAAACUGCACGAAAUAGAGCAAUAACAGGUCUGUGAUGCCCUUAGAUGUCCGGGGCCGCACGCGCGCUACACUGAAGUGAUCAGCGUGCUUUUUAAGCCUACUCUGCCAAGAGUGGGAAACCCAAUGAACCUUCUUCGUGAUUGGGAUAGGAGAUUGUAAUUAUUCUCCUUGAACGAGGAAUUCCCAGUAAGCGCGAGUCAUAAGCUCGCGUUGAUUACGUCCCUGCCCUUUGUACACACCGCCCGUCGCUACUA
rnacentral:rRNA from 1 species